rnacentral:rRNA from 1 species
UACAGAGGGUGCAAGCGUUGUUCGGAAUUAUUGGGCGUAAAGGGCGCGUAGGCGGUGCGGUAAGUCUGUAGUGAAAUCUCUGGGCUCAACUCAGAGUCUGCUAUAGAAACUGCCGUGCUUGAGUGUGGGAGAGGUGAGUGGAAUUCCCGGUGUAGCGGUGAAAUACGUAGAUAUCGGGAGGAACACCUGUGGCGAAAGCGGCUCACUGGACCACAACUGACGCUGAGGCGCGAAAGCUAGGGGAGCAAACAGG